rnacentral:misc_RNA from 1 species
GAUGAAGAACGCAGCGAAAUGCGAUAAGUAAUGUGAAUUGCAGAAUUCCGUGAAUCAUCGAAUCUUUGAACGCAUAUUGCGCCCUCUGGCAUUCCGGGGGGCAUGCCUGUCCGAGCGUCAUUGCUGCCCUCAAGCACGGCUUGUGUGUUGGGCCUCCGUCCUCCUCCCGGGGGACGGGCCCGAAAGGCAGCGGCGGCACCGCGUCCGGUCCUCGAGCGUAUGGGGCUUCGUCACCCGCUCUUGUAGGCCCGGCCGGCGCUUGCCGACACAUCAAUCUUUUUUCCAGGUUGACCUCGGAUCAGGUAGGUAUACCCGCUGAACUUAAGCAUAUCAAUAAGCGGAGGA